UACGUAGGUGGCAAGCGUUGUCCGGAUUUACUGGGCGUAAAGAGCGCGCAGGCGGUCGUUCAAGUCGAGUGUGAAAGCCCCCGGCUCAACUGGGGAGGGUCACGCGAUACUGAUCGACUCGAAGGCAGGAGAGGGUAGUGGAAUUCCCGGUGUAGUGGUGAAAUGCGUAGAUAUCGGGAGGAACACCAGUGGCGAAGGCGACUACCUGGCCUGUUUCUUGACGCUGAGGCGCGAAAGCUAGGGGAGCAAACGGG
rnacentral:rRNA from 1 species